UGGGGGAUAUUGCACAAUGGAGGGAACUCUGAUGCAGCGACGCCGCGUGAGUGAAGAAGUAUUUCGGUAUGUAAAGCUCUAUCAGCAGGGAAGAUGAUGACGGUACCUGACUAAGAAGCCCCGGCUAACUACGUGCCAGCAGCCGCGGUAAUACGUAGGGGGCAAGCGUUAUCCGGAUUUACUGGGUGUAAAGGGAGCGCAGGCGGUUUGGCAAGUUGAGAGUGGAAGCAGGGGGCUCAACCCCUUGACUGCUCCCAAAACUGUUAAACUUGAGUAUGGGAGAGGCAGGCGGAAUUCCUAGUGUAGCGGUGAAAUGCUUAGAUAUUAGGAAGAACACCGGUGGCGAAGGCGGCCUGCUGGACCAAAACUGACGCUGAGGCUCGAAAGCGUGGGUAGCAAACAGGAUUAGAUACCCUGGUAGUCCACGCUGUAAACGAUGAAUACUAGGUGCUGGGAGGCAUAAGCCUUUCGGUGCCGUCGCAAACGCAUUAAGUAUUCCACCUGGGGAGUACGUUCGCAAGAAUG
rnacentral:rRNA from 1 species